ACGUUGAAACACCGGUUCCCGUACGAUCACCUAAGUUAAGCAACGUCGAUCCUGGUCAGUACCUUGAUGGGUGACCAUAUGGGUAUACCAGGG